UACGGAGGGUGCAAGCGUUAUCCGGAUUCACUGGGUUUAAAGGGUGCGUAGGUGGGUUGGUAAGUCAGUGGUGAAAUCUCCGAGCUUAACUUGGAAACUGCCAUUGAUACUAUCAAUCUUGAAUAUUGUGGAGGUUAGCGGAAUAUGUCAUGUAGCGGUGAAAUGCUUAGAUAUGACAUAGAACACCAAUUGCGAAGGCAGCUGGCUACGCAUAUAUUGACACUGAGGCACGAAAGCGUGGGGAUCAAACAGG
rnacentral:rRNA from 1 species